GUCACACACACUUGCCAGUCAGUCAAAUGGAACUGUACAUGUGAAAUGUACUGCAAAAGUAGCUGUCAGCACUUUAACAAUGACUCACACUUUGCUUUCUGGAGAUAUUUCUCUAGACGCAGGACAAAAAAGAAAAAAACUCGGGCUUCGAGACAUGGGUCCAACAUUGGUACUUUUGGAAGUUACCUAAAAAAAUUUGCAGAGGCAUAAAAAAAUUUAGGAUACAUACCUUCAUGUUUCAUGAAACUUGUCCAGCCUGGACCAAUCUAUU